rnacentral:lncRNA from 11 species
GCUUUAACCUUAUGAUCUCUGGCUUGUUUUACAGCUUGGGACAUUGUAGCCUUUGGCUAAGCCUCUGGUCCUUUCCCUCAAGAUUGUGUCAUCCAUUUGGGAAUAUAAUCUAUGCGUGAACAGAGUUUUAAGAUCACAGCACCUACAUAUUGGAAGAACAGGCGAGUUCUGGCUGGUUGGAGCAGACGUCCCCCAGAAGACCGAAGUGUGUGGAGUGGAUUAUACCAAAGAAGGUGAUCCUUUAGAUCACCCUUUAGGACACUGAGGUCUGGAGAUGCUUACUCUAAACAGCCAGAACCCAACUGACCAUCACCCA